rnacentral:rRNA from 1 species
AUUGAACGCUGGCGGCAGGCCUAACACAUGCAAGUCGAGCGUAUGACGGGAGCUUGCUCCUUGAUUCAGCGGCGGACGGGUGAGUAAUGCCUAGGAAUCUGCCUGGUAGUGGGGGGCAACGUUUCGAAAGGAACGCUAAUACCGCAUACGUCCUACGGGAGAAAGCAGGGGACCUUCGGGCCGUGCGCUAUCAGAUGAGCCUAGGUCGGAUUAGCUAGUAGGUGAGGUAAUGGCUCACCUAGGCGACGAUCCGUAACUGGUCUGAGAGGAUGAUCAGUCACACUGGAACUGAGACACGGUCCAGACUCCUACGGGAGGCAGCAGUGGGGAAUAUUGGACAAUGGGCGAAAGCCUGAUCCAGCCAUGCCGCGUGUGUGAAGAAGGUCUUCGAAUUGUAAAGCACUUUAAGUUGGGAGGAAGGGCAGUAAGUUAAUACCUUGCUGUUUUGACGUUACCGACAGAAUAAGCACCGGCUAACUCUGUGCCAGCCGCCGCCGUAA